CCACGCCCGCUACAGAAACUACAAAGGAAUUGGACGGGGCCCGCACAAGCGGAGGAGCAUGUGGUUUAAUUCGAUGAUACGCGAGGAACCUUACCUGGGCUCGAACGUAAGAUGACUGUAGGUGAAAGCUUACAUCUCCUCGGAGCAUUUUACGAGGUGCUGCAUGGUUGUCGUCAGCUCGUGCCGUGAGGUGUCGGGUUAAGUCCCAUAACGAGCGCAACCCUACCUUUAGUUGCCAUCAGGUAAUGCUGGGGACUCUAAAGGAACUGCCUACGCAAGUAGUGAGGAAGGCGGGGAUGACGUCAAAUCAGCACGGCCCUUACGUCCAGGGCUACACACGUGCUACAAUGGCCGAUACAGAGGGCAGCUACCUGGUGACAGGAUGCAAAUCUCCAAAGUCGGUCUCAGUUCGGAUCGGAGUCUGCAACCCGACUCCGUGAAGUUGGAUUCGCUAGUAAUCGCGCAUCAGCCAUGGCGCGGUGAAUACGUUCCCGGGCCUU
rnacentral:rRNA from 1 species